UGAUAAUUAGUUUAACAAAAACAAAUGAUUUCGACUCAUUAGAUUGUAGUUCAUAUUGCAAUUAUCAA
rnacentral:tRNA from 1 species